rnacentral:ncRNA from 2 species
AAGACGGUCGGGAGAGAGACCCUUGAGUAAUUUAAGGGCGCCGAAGGUGCAAUCGGCGAGGAAAAUAAGCUGACAAACUCUCAGGCAAAAAGAUCCUGGCCCGACG